UUAAAGGCCGGGAGGAAGGUGGGAUGACGUCAAGUCAGCAUGGCCUUUAUAUCCUGGGCUACACACACGCUACAAUGGCCAACACAAUAGGUUGCUAAGCCGCGAGGUGGAGCCAAAUCCAAAAAAGUUGGUCUCAGUUCAGAUUGUAGGCUGCAACUCGCCUGCAUGAAGAUGGAGUUGCUAGUAAACGCAGGUCAGCUAUACUGCGUUGAAUACCGUUCCCGGGGCUU
rnacentral:rRNA from 1 species